rnacentral:rRNA from 1 species
AAAUUGAAGAGUUUGAUCAUGGCUCAGAUUGAACGCUGGCGGCAGGCCUAACACAUGCAAGUCGAACGGUAACAGGAAGCAGCUUGCUGCUUUGCUGACGAGUGGCGGACGGGUGAGUAAUGUCUGGGAAACUGCCUGAUGGAGGGGGAUAACUACUGGAAACGGUGGCUAAUACCGCAUAACGUCGCAAGACCAAAGAGGGGGACCUUCGGGCCUCUUGCCAUCAGAUGUGCCCAGAUGGGAUUAGCUUGUUGGUGAGGUAACGGCGUCACCAAGGCGACGAUCCCUAGCUGGUCUGA